AAUUAGGGCCCAUAUUAGGUUAAUCUGGUUCUAGAUGCUCUUAGCCUCACACAUCCCCAUAGGACCGAAUGAGACGAGCAUCAACAAAGACAUGAUAAAUUUACGAUGAGUUCCAUGACGAUGUGUGACAGAGGCCUACCAUGGUUUGAUCGUAAAAAAUGUACCCAUGCAUCAAUUUCGAACUCCGAUAAGACAAGCCUAUCAGAUCUAUCACAA
rnacentral:lncRNA from 1 species